GAUGAACGCUAGCUACAGGCUUAACACAUGCAAGUCGAGGGGCAUCAGGAAGAAAGCUUGCUUUCUUUGCUGGCGACCGGCGCACGGGUGAGUAACACGUAUCCAACCUGCCCUUUACUCGGGGAUAGCCUUUCGAAAGAAAGAUUAAUACCCGAUAGCAUAAUGAUUCCGCAUGGUUUCAUUAUUAAAGGAUUCCGGUAAAGGAUGGGGAUGCGUUCCAUUAGGUUGUUGGUGAGGUGACGGCCCACCAAGCCUUCGAUGGAUAGGGGUUCUGAGAGGAAGGUCCCCCACAUUGGAACUGAGACACGGUCCAAACUCCUACGGGAGGCAGCAGUGAGGAAUAUUGGUCAAUGGGCGCUAGCCUGAACCAGCCAAGUAGCGUGAAGGAUGUAGGCUCUAUGGGUCGUAAACUUCUUUUAUAUAAGAAUAAAGUGCAGUAUGUAUACUGUUUUGUAUGUAUUAUAUGAAUAAGGAUCGGCUAACUCCGUGCCAGCAGCCGCGGUAAUACGGAGGAUCCGAGCGUUAUCCGGAUUUAUUGGGUUUAAAGGGAGCGUAGGUGGACUGGUAAGUCAGUUGUGAAAGUUUGCGGCUCAACCGUAAAAUUGCAGUUGAUACUGUCAGUCUUGAGUACAGUAGAGGUGGGCGGAAUUCGUGGUGUAGCGGUGAAAUGCUUAGAUAUCACGAAGAACUCCGAUUGCGAAGGCAGCUCACUGGACUGCAACUGACACUGAUGCUCGAAAGUGUGGGUAUCAAACAGGAUUAGAUACCCUGGUAGUCCACACAGUAAACGAUGAAUACUCGCUGUUUGCGAUAUACAGUAAGCGGCCAAGCGAAAGCAUUAAGUAUUCCACCUGGGGAGUACGCCGGCAACGGUGAAACUCAAAGGAAUUGACGGGGGCCCGCACAAGCGGAGGAACAUGUGGUUUAAUUCGAUGAUACGCGAGGAACCUUACCCGGGCUUAAAUUGCAGUGGAAUGAUGUGGAAACAUGUCAGUGAGCAAUCACCGCUGUGAAGGUGCUGCAUGGUUGUCGUCAGCUCGUGCCGUGAGGUGUCGGCUUAAGUGCCAUAACGAGCGCAACCCUUAUCUUUAGUUACUAACAGGUUAUGCUGAGGACUCUAGAGAGACUGCCGUCGUAAGAUGUGAGGAAGGUGGGGAUGACGUCAAAUCAGCACGGCCCUUACGUCCGGGGCUACACACGUGUUACAAUGGGGGGUACAGAAGGCAGCUAGCGGGUGACCGUAUGCUAAUCCCAAAAUCCUCUCUCAGUUCGGAUCGAAGUCUGCAACCCGACUUCGUGAAGCUGGAUUCGCUAGUAAUCGCGCAUCAGCCACGGCGCGGUGAAUACGUUCCCGGGCCUUGUACACACCGCCCGUCAAGCCAUGGGAGCCGGGGGUACCUGAAGUACGUAACCGCAAGGAUCGUCCUAGGGUAAAACUGG
rnacentral:rRNA from 1 species